rnacentral:rRNA from 2 species
CGAAUGAGGAGAUUCAUCGUCAGCUUAUUCAGUAUUAAUGCAGGCUAUGAUGUGAUAAUAGAAUCCUUGUGGUCACUAGAUUAUACUUGCUUGUAUUAUUUUUGCUGGGUAUGUCGGCGUGCACUUCUCCUCUAGUAGAACGUCGCAACCCGUUGGAUGUUUAUCUAUGGCUUGAAUGGUAGCCUUUGAUAUUUUUUAUAUUAAAGACCUUCGAUGUCCUGAUAAACUGUUUGACGGUAUACAUAUGGUAUUGAGCCGCAAUUAUUUGCGUUAGACUUGCCGCAAGUAUGACUUUAUUCUAGUAGUGCGGAUCUAAUGCCGUCGCUGGACAAAGUCUGCUGUUAGCUGUGUAA